rnacentral:rRNA from 1 species
GACGAACGCUGGCGGCGUGCUUAACACAUGCAAGUCGAACGGAAAGUCCCUGCUUUUGUGGGGUGCUCGAGUGGCGAACGUGUGAGUAACACGUGAGUAACCUGCCCUUUACUUUGGGAUAACUUCAGGAAACUGGGGCUAAUACCGGAUAGGAGCUCCUGCUGCAUGGUGUUGGUUGGUAAGUUUCGGCGGUUGGGGAUGGACUCGCGGCUUAUCAGCUUGUUUGUUGGGUAGUGGCUUACCAAGGCUUUGACGGGUAGCCGGCCUGAGAGGGUGACCGGCAAAAUUGGGACUGAGAUACGGAACAGAAUGAAACGGGAGGCAGCAGUGGGGAAUAUUGCAGAAUGGGAGGAAGCCUGAUGAAGAAAAGCAGCGUGCGGGAUGACGGGAUACGGGGUGAAAAAAGAUGUAGAAUGUGAAGAAGAGGGAGUGACGGUAAUGGGUAAAGAAGCAACGGCUAACUACGUG